rnacentral:misc_RNA from 1 species
CCGAGUUUACAACUCCCAAACCCAAUGUGAACGUUACCAAACUGUUGCCUCGGCGGGGUCACGCCCCGGGUGCGUCGCAGCCCCGGAACCAGGCGCCCGCCGGAGGGACCAACCAAACUCUUUCUGUAGUCCCCUCGCGGACGUUAUUCUUACAGCUCUGAGCAAAAAAUUCAAAUGAAUCA